GACGAACGCUGGCGGCGUGCUUAACACAUGCAAGUCGAACGCUGAAGCUCGUUUUCGGGUGGAUGAGUGGCGAACGGGUGAGUAACACGUGAGUAACCUGCCCCUUACUUUGGGAUAACUUCGGGAAACCGGGGCUAAUACUGGAUAGUGACCUGUCAUCGCAUGGUGGUGGGUGGAAAGUGUUUAGCGGUAGGGGAUGGGCUCGCGGCCUAUCAGCUUGAUGGUGGGGUGAUGGCCUACCAUGGCGACGACGGGUAGCCGGCCUGAGAGGGCGACCGGCCACACUGGGACUGAGACACGGCCCAGACUCCUACGGGAGGCAGCAGUGGGGAAUAUUGCACAAUGGGCGCAAGCCUGAUGCAGCGACGCCGCGUGGGGGAUGACGGCCUUCGGGUUGUAAACUCCUUUCGUCAGGGAAGAAGCCUCUUUUGGGGGUGACGGUACCUGGAGAAGAAGCACCGGCUAACUACGUG
rnacentral:rRNA from 1 species